UCGAAGUGAAGACGCGGUCGAGUUAGCGCGACGCACUGUUGGGAAAUUUAGAGGAAGAGUUGAGCGUCUUAAUUUUAACGAAUCUAAAACGUUUCCAGACACAAACAAGACUUGGACACGAUGGAAAACCCUACAAGUGUUCCAGAGCUGAUGCAGUUUGUGCAAACGACGCUUCAGAACAUGCAAGAGAAAUUCCAAAAUGUCGAAGAUUCGAUCGUGAAAAGAAUGACUGAAACUGGAAAGAGACUAGACGAGUUAGAGAAAGGACUGACGGAUCUGAUGGACCAUUCUGGUAUGGGAGAACCUUAUGAAGAAGACUUGGAAUCCGACAAGGAUUUCUCUGAUACCGACAAGGGGAGAUGAUAGAAAUUUGUGCGUUGUCCGUUGCUAGAGACAUUAGUAAUGUAAACAUGGCGUGGAUUUGAACUUUGAGUUUAUUUUGAGUGAGUCCUGUGAGAUAUUUAUGGUGAAGAAGUUUUUUUUUUAUAUUUAAUUUGUCUCUGUUUCAAGGUUUUGUAGCGAAGUUUAAACUUGCCUCACUUCAAACAAAUCACCAACGUUGAAAAUUAUGUUACGCUUUAGCUUACAUGUAACAUGAGAGCUUUUGUCUGUCUGUACUCAUGGAUUAUGGAUUCAGUAAGCUAUAACUAUUGCUAUGCCUUUAGUCGACUUUUGUUAGUUUUUGUUUACAUCAGAGGAAAACGUCUUGUCACUGGAUGAAAGUACCAAAGAGAGUUUCAAUAUAUUAUUGUAAGUAGAUUUUUAUGCUGCAGAUAUUUGUGUUGUUUGGAGCUCAAAAAAUAAAUGCGCAAGUUGCCAGAUUUUUCCUUA